rnacentral:rRNA from 1 species
ACUCAAAUGAAUUGACGGGGACCCGCACAAGCGGAGGAUGAUGUGGUUUAAUUUGACGAUACGCGAAGAACCUUACCCAGGCUUGACAUCCUUGGAACCCUGCGGAAACGCGGGGGUGCCCUCGGGAGCCAAGUGACAGGUGCUGCAUGGCCGUCGUCAGCUCGUGUCGUGAGAUGUUGGGUUAAGUCCCGCAACGAGCGCAACCCUUAUCGUAUGUUGUAUUUUUCAUGCGAGACUGCCCGGGCCAACCGGGAGGAAGGUGGGGAUGACGUCAGGUCAGCAUGGCCCUUACGCCUGGGGCUACACACGUCAUACAAUGGCCGGUACAACGCGCCGCGAAACCGCGAGGUGGAGCUAAUCGCAUCAAAACCGGUCUCAGUUCGGAUUGCAGGCUGCAACUCGCCUGCAUGAAGUCGGAUUCGCUAGUAAACGUGGGUCAGCACACCACGUUGAAUACGUUCCCGGGUCUUGUACACACCGCCCGU